UGCGUAGGCGGAUAUAUAAGUCAGUGGUGAAAUCUUUCGGCUCAACCGAGAAACUGCCAUUGAUACUGUUAGUCUUGAGUUCGGUUGAGGUAGGCGGAAUGUGUAAUGUAGCGGUGAAAUGCUUAGAUAUUACACAGAACACCAAUUGCGUAGGCAGCUUACUAGACCGACACUGACGCUGAGGCACGAAAGCGUGGGGAGCGAACAGGAUUAGAUACCCUGGUAGUCC
rnacentral:rRNA from 1 species